CACGUGGUAUCCUGUCUGAAUAUGGGGGGACCAUCCUCCAAGGCUAAAUACUCCUGACUGACCGAUAGUGAACCAGUACCGUGAGGGAAAGGCGAAAAGAACCCCGGCGAGGGGAGUGAAAAAGAACCUGAAACCGUGUACGUACAAGCAGUGGGAGCCCCACCACUAAGCCAGUGGUGAACUCCACAUACGCAUCCUUUGCUGAGGAUACGGUUAACGGAGCGAAAGCGACGUUCAACCGCAAAAGAAGCAGAGGGGGCUUAGUGGUGGGGUGACUGCGUACCUUUUGUAUAAUGGGUCAGCGACUUAUAUUCUGUAGCAAGGUUAACCGCAUAGGGGAGCCGGAGGGAAACCGAGUCUUAACCGGGCGUUAAGUUGCAGGGUAUAGACCCGAAACCCGGUGAUCUAGCCAUGGGCAGGUUGAAGGUUGGGUAACACUAACUGGAGGACCGAACCGACUAAUGUUGAAAAAUUAGCGGAUGACCUGUGG
rnacentral:rRNA from 1 species